UGGGGAAUCUUCCGCAAUGGGCGCAAGCCUGACGGAGCAAUGCCGCGUGAGUGAAGAAGGCCUUCGGGUUGUAAAACUCUGUCCUCAUCCAAGAGAAGGAAAGGUAGUAACUGGCCUUUCCAGGACGGUAGAUGAGGAGGAAGCCCCGGCUAACUAUGUGCCAGCAGCCGCGGUAAAACAUAGGGGGCAAGCGUUGUCCGGAAUCACUGGGCGUAAAGGGCGCGCAGGCGGUCUGUUAAGUCAGAUGUGAAAGGUUAGGGCUCAACCCUGAACGUGCAUCUGAUACUGGCAGACUUGAGUAUGGAAGAGGUAAGUGGAAUUCCUAGUGUAGCGGUGAAAUGCGUAGAUAUAUGGAGGAACACCGGUGGCGAAAGCGGCUCUCUGGUCUGUAACUGACGCUGAGGCUCGAAAGCGUGGGGAGCGAACAGG
rnacentral:rRNA from 1 species